CGGCACACUAUAUUACUGGCAAGCACAGGCGAGUACAGACGUGCACAAGCAUGUACAGACUAGUACAGGUGAACACAGACGUGUACAGGCGAGCACAGGUCAGUACAGGCGAGCCCUGCGAGUACAGGUGUGCACAGGUCAGUACAGGCUAGCACAGGUCAGUACAGGCUAGCACAGGCGUGCACAGGCGAGCACAGGUCAGUACAGGCGAGUACAGGUGUGCACAGGCGAGCACAGGUCAGUACAGGCGAGUACAGGUCAGUACAGGCGAGUACAGGCGAGCACAGGUCAGUACAGGAGAGUACAGGUCAGUACAGGCGAGCACAGGUCAGUACAGGCGAGUACAGGUCAGUACAGGCGAGCACAGGUGUGCACAGGCGAGUACAGGCGAGCACAGGUCAGUACAGGCGAGCACAGGUCAGUACAGGCGAGCACAGGUCAGUACAGGCGAGCACAGGUCAGUACAGGCGAGCACAGGUCAGUACAGGCGAGUACAGGCGAGCACAGGUCAGUACAGGCGAGCAC